rnacentral:Y_RNA from 1 species
AGCUGGUCCAAUGGUAGUGGGUUAUCAGAACUUAUUAACAUUAGUGUCACUGAAGUUGGUAUUCAACCCCCCACUGCUAAAUUUGACUGGCUUUAA